rnacentral:misc_RNA from 1 species
GAAAUGCGAUAAGUAAUGUGAAUUGCAGAAUUCAGUGAAUCAUCGAAUCUUUGAACGCACCUUGCGCUCCUUGUUAUUCCUUGGAGCAUGCCUGUUUGAGUAUCAUGAAAUCUUCAAAGUAAAUCUUUUGUUAACUCAAUUGGUUUCUACUUUGGUAUUGGAGGUCUUUGCAGCUUCACACCUGCUCCUCUUUGUUCAUUAGCUGGAUCUCAGUGUUAUGCUUGGUUCCACUCGGCGUGAUAAGUUAUCUAUCGCUGAGGACACUGUAAAAGGUGGCCAAGGUAAAUGCAGAUGAACCGCUUCUAAUAGUCCAUUGACUUGGACAAUACUUUUAUGAUCUGAUCUCAAAUCAGGUAGGACUACCCGCUGAACUUAAGC